rnacentral:tRNA from 1 species
GGAGAGGUGGCUGAGUGGUUGAAAGCGCUCCCCUGCUAAGGGAGUAAGGACUAAAAUUCCUUCGAGGGUUCGAAUCCCUCCCUCUCCGCCA